GUGCAUGAGUGCACUGCGGCUUAUUUGACUCAACACGGGACAACUCACCGGGUCAGGAUACGCUAUAUGAAGGACAAGCGGAAAGACUUUUCCCAAUUACGUAAGUGGUGGUGCAUGGCCGUUCUUAGUUCGUGGAUUGAUUUGUCUGGUCUAUUCCGUUAACGAGCGAGAUCUUCGCGUCUAAUUAGAGUCACCAUUGCCAGGGCUUGUGGACUGCCUGCUCUUGGUGCGCUGAUCAGCUGGGCUGUCGUUCUUCGGGGCGGCGGUCUGUUUGCGGGCGUAUCGGGAGUGGGAACAACGGUCUGCUCGAACCCAGCAGUGGCCUUAAUAAACAGCUUAACACGCGUCUUCUUAGAUGUAUCGGGGCCGAAAAGGUCUCUGAAAGAAGGUAAUAACAGGUCAGUGAUGCCCUUAGAUGUUCCGGGCCGCACGCGGGUUACAAUGGCAUGUAAAAUAAGUAUACCCCCUAUACCAAAAGUGUCCAGCCAGCGCAGUGUCUCUCCGGGCAUUCGUUGCUGGUUGGCACCGGGGGGAAGUCCCGCUUCCUAACGGAUUUGCGAUAAUCAUUAAACCCUGCCUUGUCUGGGAUAGUCUUUUGUAACUAUUGGUCUUGAACGUGGAAUUUUUAGUAGGCGUAGCUCAUUAAGCUACGCCGAAUCUGUCCCUGCCUUUUGUACACACCGCCCGUCGCUGCUUACCGAAAUA
rnacentral:rRNA from 1 species